UUUUAAAUGGAGACCUGUAUGAAUGGCAUCACGAGGGCUUAACUGUCUCCCCUCCCCAGUCAAUGAAAUUGAUCUCCCCGUGCAGAAGCGGGGAUAAUACCAUAAGACGAGAAGACCCUAUGGAGCUUUAGACGUCAGAGCAGCCCAUGUAAAGCACCCCUUAACAAAGGAAAAAACCAAAUGAAGCCUGCCCUAAUGUCUUUGGUUGGGGCGACCGCGGGGAAAUACAAAACCCCCAUGUGGAGUAGGAAUACACAUUCCUAAACCCAAGAGCUCCCGCUCUAAUGAACAGAAAUUCUGACCAAUAAGAUCCGGCACACGCCGAUCAACGGACCGAGUUACCCUAGGGAUAACAGCGCAAUCCCCUUAAAGAGCCCUUAUCGACAAGGGGGUUUACGACCUCGAUGUUGGAUCAGGACAUCCUAAUGGUGCAGCCGCUAUUAAGGGUUC
rnacentral:rRNA from 1 species